ACCAUCCACCAUCCAUUUCGGGGAUGGUCCGUAAGGUUUUGCCGUUCCGAAAAUUUCCCAGUUAGUCCACCAUCCAUUUUGGAUGUUCCUAAGCCGCACGUUUCUAUGCGAUAGUUAGCCGAUGGUUUUCAAAUGCAACUCUGAAUAAUUGUCAUUCACAAUGGAAAAAUGGUAUUCACUCCGAAAACGUAAACAAUGAUUGUGACAAAAUUAACAAAAAACAAAAACAACAACAGAACAGCUCGGAAGGACAGCAGACCAAAUUUUCGAAAAACUUAUUAAUAAAAUGGAUUUAGUGCCAGAAAACUCCUCCAGUGCAAACAAGAGAACAACAGCAGGCGGCAGGGUGAAAUGGAGUGCCGCGCUUGAGAGCCUGAUGAUUGACAUAUGGAAGGAGAAAAUUGAAGAUUUGCGCGGACCACGCAAAUAUUCACAUGUGUAAAUUAAGUUGUCCGUAUGUCCAAGUAGCCUUAGCUGCUUGAUGCGGUGGUCCUCGUGCGGGUUCCGUGGUAUAGAAUCCUUUAUGAAGAUUAUGUUGGAGAGAUAACUGUCUCUCUUAUCACUGGCCUUGUGGUACAGUGGUAUAGAAUUAAUAAUUCAAAGUUUUUACGGCUGGUUGCCGGAGCAAGGUUUAUUAACAAGCGUUAGCUUUCGUUAUAAGAA